GGUCGCUCGUACACCAGAUUGAAAAAGAGAGGGAGACCAGAGAGGUAAUUGCUUUCAAAUUCCUUUUUUCCUCUUUUAUCGUUGAAGCUGCUCUCCAGAGAGGCGCACUAAGGGCCUCCAUCGAGUUUUUGACCUCAUAUAGGGAGAGAUAGAGAGAAGGCGAGCAAUUUGCAUGAUCAAGCUCAGGAGUGCCUCUCAGGGAAUUUCCUGUGAUUGAGUAAUAGGAAUCGAAGAAGUUAAUGACAGAAAUUUGGGAUUUCUUUUCGUAUUGGAUUAUUUGGUUGAACAGAUCUGGGAACGAGCUUUGCGUUUGUGAUCAGGAACAAGAAGAAACGGGAUUCAGGGUUUCUGUGGCUACAAGUAUGUCUCUUUGGUAUCAUUUGCUUGCGACAAAAACGGGUUGUUGAACAAAAUGGAAGGGUCAUGAAAAUAAAAUAUGAUGAGAGAAAUAUGCAUACCAAUUCUUACCAUGAUCAGGUUCCAGUAAGAGAUAUCUAUUACAUUGUUCAGGGAACUAUUAGUUGCUGUAUAGUGCAACCUGUUUGGAUUCAGACAUGGGCCGUGAAAAACGAAUGUCCUCAAGAAGAAGCUUUUUUCAAUACUUUGAGAACGAAUAAAGUGCUGAUCACAUUGAAAAUUCCCAAUUUCUGAAAAUACAUCAGCUGAAAAUGCAAAUAUAAUAGGUAGAUGGCGUGAAAGCACCAAGUCCUCAAGAAAAAGAUCAUUUCAAAAUUUGGAAGAUGAAGGAACAUCAGUAGCUCCUGAUAUUUUCGAAGAACAAAAUAAUGUUAUUGGUGUUCAAACAGUAGAGACAGACAAGUAAAUGUUCAUGCUUGGUUUUGAUGAGGCGUGAUUGGUUUUUAAUCUGAUGAGGGGUGAUCGCUUCCUGCAGUCUUUUGAUGUUUUCUAUUGGCGAGACAUGAACUACAAAGGUUGACUGGUAAGGCUCGUUGAUGGUUUUGAGACAAUUUGGUUCGAUCUCAGUUUGAUUCUUUUCUGGGUUUUCAUCUGCAUGUAAGCUUCUAUCCUUCUCCCUGUGCUUGCUCUUCUUAGUUUAUCUUGAUUUCCAUCGAUUUGUUCUUGAGGACACCCAAUUUGUCAUGUCUAUUGGUUUGGGAAGGAUGUAGAUCAGAGAUAUA